GCCUAACCCUCGCGGUUUUAUCGCGAGGUAUGGCAGAAAUCCCGAUGAAGAUACUAAACCCCGCGUUUAGCAACUCUUCAUCGGGUCAUAUUCCGAAAGGGAUAUGUGGUCGCAA
rnacentral:sRNA from 1 species